rnacentral:rRNA from 1 species
GACGAACGCUGGCGGCGUGCUUAACACAUGCAAGUCGAACGGGUCUGCCCUGUUUUUUGCGGGGUGGGUCAGUGGCGAACGGGUGAGUAACACGUGAGUAACCUGCCCCUCACUUCUGGAUAACCGCUUGAAAGGGUGGCUAAUACGGGGUGUUCUGGCUGUGCCGCAUGGUGUGGCUGGGAAAGAUUCACUUUUGUGGUGUUUUGGUGGGGGAUGGGCUCGCGGCCUAUCAGCUUGUUGGUGGGGUGAUGGCCUGCCAAGGCUUUGACGGGUAGCCGGCCUGAGAGGGUGGGCGGUCGCACUGGGACGGAGAUACGGCCCAGACUCCUGCGGGAGGCAGCAGUGGGGGGUAUUGCACAAUGGGCGGAAGCCUGAUGCAGCGACGUCGCGUGAGGGAUGGAGGCCUUCGGGUUGUGAACCUCUUUCGCCGGUGAAGAAGGUCCUGCUCUUUGUGGUGGGGUUGACGGUAGCCGGGUUAUGAAGCGCCGGCUAACUACGUG